rnacentral:sRNA from 12 species
GAGAGGAGGUACCCAUGCAUCGUAGAUGCAUAUAAAAUGGUACCGACGAUAUGCCGUUACCCAUAAUGGGAGGGGGCAAUACCUAUG